CAGCCGCCACGGUAAUACGUAGGGUGCAAGCGUUAAUCGGAAUUACUGGGCGUAAAGCGUGCGCAGGCGGUUUGUUAAGACAGAUGUGAAAUCCCCGAGCUUAACUUGGGAACUGCAUUUGUGACUGCACGGCUAGAGUGUGUCAGAGGGGGGUAGAAUUCCACGUGUAGCAGUGAAAUGCGUAGAUAUGUGGAGGAAUACCGAUGGCGAAGGCAGCCCCCUGGGAUAACACUGACGCUCAUGCACGAAAGCGUGGGGAGCAAACAGGAUUAGAUACCCCAGUAGUCCCUGUCUCUUAUAC
rnacentral:rRNA from 1 species